CCUUUGCGUGGCCAACUUCAAAAACUACCAGCAGUGUGUUUCACAUAUUGAAGCAGCUUGGGAUCUUGCAUAUUCCAUUGGCAGCUAUGUGUUCAGUAGUGGUUCUGACCCCAAGUCACAGCUUUUCGAUGGGCACAACAAAUCAGGAGCUACCAUAUACGC